rnacentral:misc_RNA from 1 species
UAUAAAUUUUAAAUCUCAUAGUUCACUUCUACUUUGGAUUCCAUAGCAUGGAAUUUCAUUGUUUCUCAACCAGGAAUAAUCCUUAUCCAACCAAUCAAUAAACCAAAAAGUUCAUCACUUCAAAAUUCAAGAAAUGAAUAAGACAAACAAUCACCAAACCUACAAAACCAUAGUAACCGACAAGAAAAACUAUAACUACACCACCCAAAACACAAAAAGCAGUAAAAAAAUUUCAAUUCUACAUACAGAAGCAAACUCAUGCCCAGGAAGAAUCCCGCCAAUCUUCUCCAAAAGCAAGCCUAACGUCAUUGGCGGACAGCUCCUUAGCAACUCACAGGCCUCCGCAGCCUUAACCAUAGCUGUGGGCUGAUCCUCUGCAGUAACAAACGG